rnacentral:misc_RNA from 1 species
UCGCAAGACAUCACUUUUCCCUCGCGACCCACAAAGGAUUGUCCCAUGAUCUGUUACUUUUUUGAACCUUUUUUCUGUUAUUGUUUCAGUUAAGCUGGUAUUUGUUGAUGUCCUAGCAUGAAAACACUAAGUAGGGGACGGAUUGUUUUUAAAUCUCUCCAUUCUGGGGUUAGCCAAGAAACAUGAAUUUCAGAGUUUAUAUACG